rnacentral:tRNA from 1 species
GGGAGUGUAACUCAACUGGAUAGAGUACGGAGCUUCUACCUCCUUGUGGGUUCGAUUCCUACCACUCCCG